rnacentral:ncRNA from 2 species
UAAUCUGUGAAAAUCUGUGGUUUCACGGUAUUUAACUGGAGAAAAGGGAACGGUACCGCCGCUGUAAUCGGUGACGAACGUUGCAAGACCACUCUCAGCCUUUUGGUGAGAGGAAGGCGCAACAAGUAGGAUGAUCCGCCAGUCAGAAGACCUGCCUGUAAUGUUUUGCCGAA